AACAUAAAUCUUAAUAAUAAAUCUUAAAUAUAAAAGCCUUACUUAUUGAAAAUACAAUUCAUUCGCGAAGGAAAUCUCGAUAUCAGAGUUUCAUCAUGAAUUUUUCAACCAUCUUAUUAAUAUGUCUUGCUUUAAGUGUCCCACCCAAAGGACCGUGGAAAGGAUAAACUAUUCCCAAGUUUUUUCAUUUUCUGUAAAAUAUUGAAAUAAAAGGGAUUUUAUAAUAAAAUGCAAUGCAAUGCAAUUAAAAAACUGGCUUGUAGACAGCCUGAAUGCUUUGUUUUUUACCAAGCGUUAAUCAUUUGAUAAAUAGUUUGGGUAAAAUAAACUUAAGUGUUUCUAUAUGGCUCAAAUGUUGGGUGAUUUUGUUGAUCAUUUGAAAUGGUUAAUGCGAAAUAAUCCAGCCCUAAACUCGAUUUAAAAUUAACUUGUUGAUAAUUUGAAAUGGUUUCCAAGUUAAUGCGAAACGUUCCAACUCUAAUGCUGAUAAUGUUUAGUAUAAAAACAAUGCUUUUUAAAAAUAUAAUCCAAUCGCAAAGGAAAUUUCGAUAUCAGAGUUACAUCAUGAAUUUUUCAACAAUCUUAUUAAUAUGUAUUGCUACAUAUGUCCCAGGCAAAGGAGUCUAUCCGAGAAAUAAAUAAAAUGCAUGUGCGCAUACAAAAUAAAAAUGCAAGUGCAAUUAAAAAACUA